rnacentral:lncRNA from 1 species
GGAAAUUCUAGAGAGAGAAAUGGAUAAUUAAUUCUGCCUGGGCAGUGCAGGCAGAAUUGUCCCUGGAAAGAUUUCAGUCAGGACUUUGAAAAUAAUUGCCAAGUAAUCUGGUAUGGUGAAAAUAUACAGUGCAGGAGAAAGAAGGACAAUUUAGAUAUAAUGUAAAUUGAAACAAAUCAUGAAAGUCUUUGACGAACUUGCUAAGGAAUUUGGGCAAUUCAGGCUCUUUGACCUAAAUUUCUUCAUCUUAAAAUAAAGGAGUUGGACAGAGCGAUUUCUGAGUUCACGACCGGGUCUAAAAGUCUAAAUAAGAUUACAUUAAAAAGUUCAAGAGGAAAUGCUUUGUAUGAUAUCUGGCAAGAUGAUAUCAAUUCCUGUAAGGAUAAUGCCAAGUCAGUAACUAUUAUUCCAAACUCCAGAAAAAUAACCUCUCUUGCAUCAUCGUAAUAGUGCCUAAUUGAAAAAAAAAAAAAAAAGGAAUUUUUUUUUUAAUGAAUCAGUACUACUUUAAUAUUGAAGUAAUUAAGUGGUUGCCAAGGGGGAGGGGAAGGGAGUGGGAUGGAUUAGGAGCUUGGGUUAACAGAUGCAGACUAUUGCCUUGGGAAUGGAUGAGCAAUGAGAUCCUGCUGUGUAGCACUGUCUAGUCCCUUACGACGGAGUCUGAUAAUGUGAGAACAAAAGAAUGUAUACAUUUAUGUGUAACUGGGUCGCUAUGCUGUACAGUAGAAAAAAAUUUUUAAGUAAUUAAAUUUAUUUGAAAUCAUAAGGGCAGGGCCCCAAUUAGAUAGGGUUAAUGUCUCAAUAGUAGGAAACACAAGAGAGCUUGUUCCCUCUCUUUCCUCCUGUCCUCAGAGGAAAGCCCAUGUGAGGAUAGGCAAGGUGGCCGUCUGCGAACCAAGAAGAGGGUCCUCACCAGAAAUCAAAUCUGCUGGACCUUGAUCUUGGAUUACUAGCCUCCAGAACGUGAGAAGUAGACUUCCGCUGUUUAAACCACCCAGUCUGUGGCAUUUUGUUAUGGGAGCCUGUGCUAAUACAGAUAACCAAUAAAUGUUUAUGUGCUGUGGGAUAGGUUUUUUGGUUUGUUUGUUUCAGUUCAGAUAUUAAAGUCUGUUUUUAAAAUGUGAUUGCAAUAUUUGGAAUAGUUGAAUUAUUUGUUCUUUAUGAUAAUGUCUGAGCUCUAGAAAAUAAUAUAUUUUAACUGAUUUUGCAGCAAUGUCUGAGCUCUAGAAAAUAAUAUAUUUUAACUGAUUUUGCAACAAUGUGGUUAUAAAUACAAACUUCCCAAUUGCCUUAUUUCAUUUGAAAUGAGAACAGUCAUUGAUUUUUAAACUUCUCGUUUUUUAUAUAUCUGAACUUGUUCAGUGAGCUAAAUACUAGCAGUGUUAAAAAAUCCAAUGGGCUAAUGAACUUGGUGCAUAAAUGAAUUUCAAAGCAAACAUAUUCAAUUUUGUUUACUUUUUUCUACUUUUAAGGGAGUUGUAGUUAUCUGCAUAUCUGUACUAAUAGUUCUGCUAAUUAUCUUGGCAUUCACUCAAUAAAAAUCUUUUCACCAAAGGCAAAAAG